UCCGAGUUGACCCCGGCAGUCUCCCAUGAGUCCCCGCCAUUACGCGCUGGCAACAUGGAACGAGGGUUGCGCUCGUUGCGGGACUUAACCCAACAUCUCACGGCACGAGCUGACGACGGCCAUGCAGCACCUUGCUUUGUGCCCCGAAGGGAAGCUCCAUCUCUGGAGCGGUCACGCGCAUCCUAGCCUAGGUAAGGUUCCUCGCGUACCAUCGAAUUAAACCACAUGCUCCACCGCUUGUGCGGGCCCCCGUCAAUUCCUUUGAGUUUCACCCUUGCGGCCGUACUCCCCAGGCGGAACACUUAUCGCGUUGGCUGCGGCACGGACAGAUUCGACUCCGCCCACACCUAGUGUUCAUCGUUUACGGCGUGGACUAC
rnacentral:misc_RNA from 1 species